rnacentral:rRNA from 1 species
UAACUAGCUGUCCGGGCUCUCAGAGCUUGGGUGGCGCAGCUAACGCAUUAAGUUAUCCGCCUGGGGAGUACGGUCGCAAGAUUAAAACUCAAAGGAAUUGACGGGGGCCUGCACAAGCGGUGGAGCAUGUGGUUUAAUUCGAAGCAACGCGCAGAACCUUACCAGCGUUCGACAUCCUUGUCGCGGAUAGUGGAGACACUUUCCUUCAGUUCGGCUGGACAAGUGACAGGUGCUGCAUGGCUGUCGUCAGCCCGUGUCGUGAGAUGUUGGGUUAAGUCCCGCAACGAGCGCAACCCUCGUCCUUAGUUGCCAUCAUUAAGUUGGGCACUCUAAGGAAACUGCCGGUGAUAAGCCGGAGGAAGGUGGGGAUGACGUCAAGUCCUCAUGGCCCUUACACGCUGGGCUACACACGUGCUACAAUGGCGGUGACAGUGGGCAGCAACCCUGCGAGGGGUAGCUAAUCUCCAAAAACCGUCUCAGUUCGGAUUGUUCUCUGCAACUCGAGAGCAUGAAGGCGGAAUCGCUAGUAAUCGCGGAUCAGCAUGCCGCGGUGAAUACGUUCCCAGGCCUUGUACACACCGCCCGUCACACCAUGGGAUUUGGAUUCACCCGAAGGCAGUGCGCUAACCGCAAGGAGGCAGCUGACCACGGUGGGUUUAGAGACUGGGGUGGAGUCGUAACAAGGUAACC